AUAUAAGCAGGUGUCAGUAAAACACUCUUCAGUUUCGAAGUUCGUCGCAUAAAUUAUUCAAUUUUUCCAAUGAAGUCUUGAUUCUCGUGCUUAAUAUUUUAUCCUUGGGUACAUAAGGAAUGGGAAUUAUUUUUACGUAUUACAGAUAACUACAAGGCGAAAGUGACCUUCAGAAACUGUCAAAGAUGGCACCUCAGUUAUUGCAUUCAAUUAGCAAACGCUGAUAGUUGAUGAAUUGAAGGAGAAUUAUGAAAACUGAAGUGUCGAAUCCAGCAUAUGAAACCCAGAUUCGCCUGAAAAGCAAAGAACGUUUUUACAAGCCUGAUAAGGCGUCGGCUCACUUGUAAAAGGAUUCAACAUCUAAAAGAAAAGCUUUCCGGUCCACAGAAAGUUUUCAACAUAAAAAGAAACCAGUUUUUCAAUCUAGUAUUAGUCGAAACGUUACAAGAUUUUUGGACUUCAUGGCAUAAAAGAACAAGGCUACAGAUAAGCUUUGCAAAUGGGCAGUUCAAAUAUCAGUGAAUGCAAAUGGAUGAUGAAAGGACAAUCGAUGUCUCCGUGAUGCAAUGAAUGCUGCUUCUAUAACUAAGCUAAAGCGCAAAAAAAUUUCUUCAUUCCACUCGCAUUUGACUACAAGUAAGAUCGCAUGAUUUUGGAAUCUUGGUAGGUCACACCUAAUUUUACG